rnacentral:misc_RNA from 1 species
GGGAAGAAGCAUCAACGAGCUUUGGGUAUGUCUAUGCGGGUGGAGAGAUCCUCUCUAGAGCAGGUCCAACAACGAUUUGAAUCGCUUAAGAAGCGCAAAGAUCCAGGAAGCUUUACUGUGCAAGAUUUUGAUGAGCGAAUGUUGAAACAGCAGCAGGAAGAGGAAGAAAGGAAACGUUUACGUCGAGAAAAGAAGAAAGAGAAGAAGAAAGAGAAGGUCUCAGAAGAGGAACCUGAAAUAGACCCUGAUGUUGCAGCUAUGAUGGGAUUCGGAGGUUUCAAAACUUCAAAAAAGUGAUCGCCGUUGGCCAUGAAUCAAUUGCGAAGAUAGUUUAGUCUGGAGUAAUCUGCCAGAGGCUCGUAAUUUAGUUUGAAAAGGUCUAAAAUGUGAGAUAGAAAUUCCAUUUUGGUACACCAUAGUAGUUAGGCAGUUGAAUUUCGUCAAUCUCAUGUUUGAUAAGCUAGUCUCCAGAACUUUCUCAAUGAACUGAUUGUAACCAUGGCUUGGAGUGUAGCCUCUCCGAUUGUUCAUUGCUAAUUUAAGUCUC